GAGGAAGAGGAGGAGGAGGAAGAGGAAGAGCAGAGCCCGAACACCCCCAGGACCCCCCUGGAGCCGCCCCGGGACCUUUUUGGCUCCUCCAGCCUCGAGUUCCAGACUUUCUGAAGACGAAAUUCCGAAUUUCGCUCCGAGUUUUUUUCCCGUUUUUUGGUGUUUUCACCCCAAAAUUCUCAUUUUUAUCCCAGUUCAAACCCCAAAUUUGAGAUUUUCGAGCCCUUUUUUUGGGAAUUUUGGGAUUUUUCCCAAAUAUUUUGGGGUUCCCACCCCUUUUAUCUCCUCCAGGUUUUCCCAGGGUGGAAUUCCCAAAUUCCCACUCGUUUUCCCAAUUUUGGGGGUUUUCACCCCAAAAUCCAGUUACAAAUUGAGCGGUUUUAGAGGUUUUUUUGGGAAUUUUUAGGAUUUCUCCCAAAUUUUUGGGGCUCCCCAACCCUUUCCCUCAUUCCAGAUUUUCUGGGAACGGAAUUCCCAAAAUUCCCACUUGGCUUUUUCCCCUUUUUUGCCGUUUUUGCCCCAAAAUUCCCCCAAUAAAAACCUGCAGCAA